rnacentral:lncRNA from 1 species
AUGGCAGCAAGGCUGAGUGAUUUCAAGCGCUUUAUCCCGUUAUCAACAGUAUUUAUCUCUCUCUCUGCGUGGUUGAGCAUCCUCUUUUCUUCCGCUGAAGAAAUCUUGGCACCUUCACUGCUGCUGGCAGGAAGGAAGAAGGUCAUCCCAGGAUCGGCAAAUCUUCCUGGCAGUCAAGUUUCAGCGAGGCUGAGGUGUCGGCAUCUUAACAUUCUGCCCCUCACUCCUCAGAACAGGAAUCUGAGGGAUUGAACUGGGAACCACUUCCGGUUCUUGAGCCAGUGGGAAAAUGCACCUGGAGUGUGAUUCUAGUAGCCUGUUGGGGACAGAUCACAGCAUAGCAGAGGGGAUGGGAGGGGAGUGACACCCUGAGGAGACAGUUGUGGCCCAGGAAGAGAGAAGGGACAGGAAGCAGACCAGAAACUCUGAAGUGCCGAGCCAAUGUGUCCCUUCUUGCUUAAUGUCAGCAAUGCCUUCCGGAAGCCUGGACUUCCCACCCUGGUAAUACCCCACAAUGCAUUCCUACUUCACUGACCCGCCCCUAACUGAGCCAUUUAAUGGUGUGAAUUUGGACCGUUUAAAGUUUCCUACCUCAGUCUCUGCCUCUGAUUAUGACAUCUUCCCUGCUUCUGGAGCAGUGAUUCUAAAACUCAGCUAUGAUCCUCUCCUCCAGCUGAAAAUAUCUUGAGUCACUAUCUUCUUUUUUUUCUUUUUUUUGGUGGCACCUGCGGCAUGUGGAAGUUCCCAGACCGGAUCCUUAACCCUCUAGCCACAGCAGUGACAACCGGAUCCUUAACCCUUUAGCCACAGGGGAACUCGUCGGGUUGCUUUUUAAAUUAAUUAAUUAAGUAAGUAAUUUUGCUUUUUAGGGCUGCACCUGCAGCAUAUGGAAAUUCUAAGGCUAGUUAUCAAAUUGGAGCUGCAGCUGCUGGCCUAUGCCACAGCCACAGCAACACAGAUCUAAGCUCUGUCUGCAAUGCCAGAUCCUUAACCCACGGAGCGGGACCAGGUAUUGAAUGAACAUCCUCAUGGAAACUAGUCGGGUUGUAACCCACUGAGCCACAAUGGGAACUCUACUUUUUAAAUUCUUAUAUCCUUUAUCUCCUCUCCUCCUCAUCUUGCAGAAAGUCACUUUUUUUUCUUUUGGCUGCACCUGCGGCAUGUGGACAUUCCUGGGCCAGGGAUCAAACCCUUGCCACAGCAAUGACAAUGCCAGAUCCUUAACCCAAUGUAACACCAGGGAACUCCAGAAAGUCACAAUUUUAAUUUUGCUGCCUCUUUGUCUUUGUAAUUUGUCCUCCUGGUAAGAACCCCCUUCUUUCUCCCCUCUUCCUCCCUUAACCUCAUUUCUAGAACUCUUACCAUCCCUAUGAACAAAUUCUAAUGCUGCUUUGUUGAAAAAGCUUAUCAAGACUUCUCUGAAGCUGUCUUCUUCUCUUCUUUACUGUCACAGCGCUGUUAUUGCAUGUAACCCAGUUUGCUUUGUUUAUUGGUUGCUUUUCUGCCUUUCCUGUGAACUGCUGGUAAUUGAGGGCAGGGCUGGUGUCUGAUUGAUCUGUAUCUGCCACUUGGCACCUCACACUCAGAGACAGAUUGUUAUAACUGUUCCUACUCUCUCCUUUGAACCUUGGGCAUCACUGCUUCUCUUCCUACAAACUCUUCCUCUUGGGGACCAAGAUGCCUGCCACAAGCUCCUGGUUUUUAUUUGUUGUAGGGCCAAUGCUAUUCUGUUUCCAAAUGUUCCUCUGGCUGGUGUAAUAACAGUUAAUAUCAUCAGCCCUCUCCUGGGAUAGAAGCUGUGAUUGUGCAGGAAUGCCAUUUUCACUGUCCUGGAGCCCAGCAUGGUAACCCCCAGGGUCGGAAGGACUGAGUCAUUGAGCAAAGCCUAUGUCCCCAUUUUGCAGAUGUUAAAAAUGGAGCUCAGUAAUGACUUCUCAAAGGGUGUUAAAGAUAAAAAUAAAAGGGGUGGAAAAUGAGCA